rnacentral:lncRNA from 1 species
AUGGUGUUCAGGCACUUUGUGGAGGUUGGCCAAGUGGCUUACAUCUCUGGACCUCAUGCUGGAAAGCUGGUUGCGAUUAUAGAUGUUGUUGAUGAGAACAGGGCUUUGGUUGGUGGAGCUUGCACUCAGGUAAGGAGACAGGCCAUGCCAUUUAAAUGCAUGCAGCUCACUGACUUUAUCCUCAAGUUCCCACCCAGUGCCCACCCCAGAGGCAUGGCCAAGAAGCCUGGCAGAAGGCAACCAUCAAUACAAAAUGGACAGGCACACAAUGGGCCAAGAAGAGUGAAGCCAAAGAAGGGGAAGCCAAAAUGAUAGAUUUUGAUCAUUUUAGUCAUGAAGGCAAAGAAAAUGAGGAACAGAAUGAUCAAGAAUUAAAUUAAGAAGCUUCAAAAGGCUGCUGUCCUGAAAGCUUCUC